rnacentral:rRNA from 1 species
UACGAGGGGGGCUAGCGUUGCUCGGAAUCACUGGGCGUAAAGCGCACGUAGGCGGCUUGUUAAGUCAGGGGUGAAAUCCUGGAGCUCAACUCCAGAACUGCCUUUGAUACUGGCGAGCUUGAGUUCGGGAGAGGUGAGUGGAACUGCGAGUGUAGAGGUGAAAUUCGUAGAUAUUCGCAAGAACACCAGUGGCGAAGGCGGCUCACUGGCCCGAUACUGACGCUGAGGUGCGAAAGCGUGGG